GGAGAAGCCCUAAUCUUCAAAAUUUAGAACCCAAAAAUAUGGCCGUGGACACCGAUUUCGCAUUCCACGAUUUGAAGCUCGAAGAUCCUUUGCUUCCAUCUUCCAACGUCAAAGCCUCUCUCCGUCUCCGUAAGUCUUCGUUUCUCUCUAUUUAGAGUUUCAAAUUUCAAUUGACAAGUUUGGUGCGGUUGGCGAUGAAUGCACUGCAAGGACUUGAAUCGUCGCCGUCGCUUAUUAGGACUUGACUCAUGCUCUGGGGAAUAUUCUCCACUCCAUCUAGUCUUUCUUCUCCUAAAAUUUGUGAAUUUCUUUACCAAUUUGAGUCUCCAAGCAACCGCCAUACAGUCUGCUUCGUAUAGUCUUGUGGAGGGUUACAUGUGUGCUCUGGAUACCUUGUAUGCUUCUGCGGGUUGUCUUAACAGUGUGGUCCAUUCUGAACUUACUUUGUUGGAGGUGUAUUUGCAUACUAAGGACUCAGAUUGAAUGCCUUGCAAACAUAUGCAACUUGUAUACAUUUUCUGAUUGCUUCCCAGCGUCUUCUUUUGAUGACUUACUUGCGAAAUCCCUAUCUGAGUGAGGGGGUCAUCUACUCACAUAUCUGUAUGCUCAGUUGCAGGUUGCUGUUCCUGCUCAUAGUCCUGUACUAAAAUUUCUUUUUCUUCGUACAUGUGAACCAUACUUCGGAUUUAUAAGAUCAUGGAUAUUCAAAGCUGAGAUUAGCGAUCCUUAUGAGGAGUUUUUGGUUGAGUAUGUUCACUCUCAUGAUCCAUAUGUUGAAUCCGGUAUCUCUGACUUCCCAUUGGCAACUAUUAGGGAACAAGAUGGAGUUCCUGUUCCUUGUUUUUUGAAGGACUUCUUGACUCCACUUUUCAGAGCAGGUCAGCAGCUGCAAGUUCUAGCGAAAUUGCUUCGAUUGUGUACUUUUGUUCCCCCUGAGAACCAUACUUAUGAGAGUUUUCUUCCUUGCUGGAGUGGGUUUUCAAGCAAUAGUCCAUCGUAUGCAUCUCCAUUGACAUUCAGCACAGGAAAUAUAGAGGCCAUGGUACUUUCAUGGGAAUGUUAUUACAAAAGGAUGCAAGACAGACUCCAGAUUCUUUUGACGGAAUUAGAGUUCAAAUUUCAACAGGUAGUUCCACAAGACGCGCUUGUUCUCUUGGAUUAUAGUGGAAGGAGUUCAACCAUCCCAGUAUUAGUCGCAUUGGAUGAAAGUUUUAUUGAAAGGGGGUCAAAUGUGGUGUCUGAUGAUUUGGAUUUGGACGAGUUAAGUACAAGAGACAAAUUAUGUUACACUGCAGAUGAGUACGAGUCAUCUGAAUGUUCAAGCUCAACUAUAUCUGAAGAGCAAAACGUGCUCAAGCAGACAACUGAGUUUCCUAGUCACAUUGUAGGAGAAGAACAAAAGUAUUUCUCUGCUUUAAGCUUCUCAACAGAUUCAUGUCUUAUGGACAACAUUAGUAGUUGUGAAAGAAAAUAUCCAUUUGGGCAUUCUCAUCAUGAAGGCAUACUUACGGGUCAGAUAUUGGACGCUCAAUUUUCAGAUUCUCUCUCUGAUAAGGAUUUGCCCGAUUAUUUUGAGAAACAGUCUGUCAUUGAUAUAGAGUACAAAGAAGGCCUGAAGUCACGUCAAACGGACUUUGCCUCAAAGCGAAGGGGAUGCUACUUUAACAAUGUUUCUGGUGGUAGUUGUUGGGAGAGUUUGCUUGGUAGAUUUGGUGACGCUGUCGUUAACAGACUUGAAGAUCACAGAGAAAGCUUGGCUGCCAGUUUUGACAUACCACUUGAUUUUAUUAUUGACAAAUGCCUUCUGCAGGAAAUCAUGCUCCGAUACAAGUAUGUCAGCAAGUUAACUAUUAACUUCCUUGAAGAAGGAUUUGAUUUGCAAGAACAUUUGCUGGCUCUGCGUCGAUACCACUUCAUGGAACUAGCAGACUGGGCAGAUUUGUUUAUUAUGUCCCUUUGGCAUCAUAAAUGGAGUAUUACACAGGCAGAUCAUAGACUUUCCGAAAUUCAAAGUUUUCUUGAGUCAUCGGUUCAGAGGUCAUCAUGUGAACGUGAUCAUAUUAAGGACAGAUUGUUUGUGUACUUGAAAGGACAUGCUGCAGUGCCUCUUUCAGCAUCUGCUAUAGGAGUCCAUUCCUUUAACUUUUUGGUUUGGGAUAUCGAGUAGACUGGCCCAUCAGCAUUGUUUUGACUCCUGGUGCAUUGAAAAUAUAUGAUGAGAUGUUGUGUUUCUUGAUACAUGUGAAACUUGCUCUGUUUUCAUUGAAUGAUGUGUGGCGCCAAUUGAAGGUAUGGAUUUUAUGGCUGCUGCAUUAACUAGCUUGAAGAUUACUAACUCAAAAUUGUAUUCAAUUAUUGUCUCUCUGAUCUAUCUCCAGGCAUCAGGUCAAUCACUUUGUAUCCACAUUGCAGCAAUAUGUGGAGUCACAACUAUCACAUGUAUCAUGGUGCAGAUUUCUACUCACUUAAGCUUAAGGUCAAAGAUAUGAUGGAUCUUCAGUCUGUACACAUGGCAUAUCUCUCAGAUUCACUUCACAUAUGUUUCCUCUCUGAUGAAACAAAACCUAUAGCUUGCAUCAUUGAGAGCAUUCUGCAGUGUGCUCUAGACUUCAGGUCUUGUCUUACUGGGGGAGUAUGGAAUGCUGGAACAGGCCAAGGGAAUUUAGUUGCAACACUCUCUGGAAUCAAUAUAUCCCAGGUUAUUGCCAUAAAGCGAACCUUUGACAAAAAUAUGAAAGAAUUGCACUCCUGUUACCUCAAAUCACCUAAACAUGGUGAGUUUGGACUCUCUCGCUUCUUGGAAUACCUGAAUUUCAACAAGUAUUACUCAGAUGCUGCUUCCGUGGUCCACAGCUCUGUGACACGAGCCAUUACUGAUAAAUCAGGAUCUGUAUAUACUUGAAGCAUCCCAGUAGAUUAUAAUGAUUGAAGGGUAACAGUAGAAAAGAAGUGCCCAGCUGAUGUUAAAUUUUGAAUUGUAGCAUAGCACUCUUUCUCCAAUGCUGUUGUCUUUCAUACAAGGUAGGAGAUUCAUGUUUUACUCUUGUGUGCCAGUUUUGCAUGCCAAUGAGUAUCUAUAUAUGUACAAAAUGGUUUAUUA